CUUCGGCUUGCACGCGCGACGGCGUUCCAAGCGCGUUCCUGACGCAUUUGCUUUUUUUAUCCAGCGGCCGUGGCAGUAGUAACGGCUCUGCACUGUCGGUGGCGCAAGUCCUCGUGCUUGGCCUGUCCUGCUGGUGUGCCCUCGGUUCUGUGAGCCUGCAGGUGCGAGACAGGGUACCCGGUUCCGAAAGGAAUAGAAGAUGGCUGCCCACCGAUCGCUGAGGCCUUCGCUACCUGCACCUGCCGUUGAGGACCGUGGCAAGCAACCAGGCUCGGCAUGAAACUAUAUUGAAAUGCCCCUACAACCCUGCUCACAUGGUGAAGAGAAGCCGCUACCAAAUACACAUCGCAAAAUGCCUAAUGGCUUUCCCGCAGCGGUGCAUGAGCCAGUGCCCAUUCUCAGCUGACCAUAUUGUGCCGGGCAGUGAUUUAAUACAGCACAUGUAAGCGUGCCCGCUCAACAAUACAAUCAAGCGUUUCAUCUAAGGCUUUCCCGCAGCGGUGCAUGAGCCAGUGCCCAUUCUCAGCUGACCAUAUUGUGCCGGGCAGUGAUUUAAUACAGCACAUGUAAGCGUGCCCGCUCAACAAUACAAUCAAGCGUUUCAUCUAAGACUAUGGCAAGCAACCAGGCUCGGCAUGAAACUAUAUUGAAAUGCCCCUACAACCCUGCUCACAUGGUGAAGAGAAGCCGCUACCAAAUACACAUCGCAAAAUGCCUAAUGGCUUUCCCGCAGCGGUGCAUGAGCCAGUGCCCAUUCUCAGCUGACCAUAUUGUGCCGGGCAGUGAUUUAAUACAGCACAUGUAAGCGUGCCCGCUCAACAAUACAAUCAAGCGUUUCAUCUAAGCCCAUUCUACACGAACCACGCCCAUGAUGUAAGUGGCAGAGGUCAAGACUCUCGGCCUGGAUGACACCGACUCCCUACUCUGUACUGAAUAAAGCUGCUCUAUGUAUCUUGUUUUCAAUGCACAAGA